AUAUCAAUAAGCGGAGGAAAAGAAACCAACAGGGAUUGCCUUAGUAACGGCGAGUGAAGCGGCAAAAGCUCAAAUUUGAAAUCUGGCACUUUCAGUGUCCGAGUUGUAAUUUGAAGAAGGUAACUUUGGAGUUGGCCCUUGUCUAUGUUCCUUGGAACAGGACGUCACAGAGGGUGAGAAUCCCGUGCGAUGAGGUGUCCAAUUCUAUGUAAAGUGCUUUCGAAGAGUCGAGUUGUUUGGGAAUGCAGCUCUAAGUGGGUGGUAAAUUCCAUCUAAAGCUAAAUAUUGGCGAGAGACCGAUAGCGAACAAGUACAGUGAUGGAAAGAUGAAAAGAACUUUGAAAAGAGAGUGAAAAAGUACGUGAAAUUGUUGAAAGGGAAGGGCUUGAGAUCAGACUCGGUAUUUUGCAAGCCUAUCCUUCGUGGAGAGGUUUAUUAGCAGCUUACCGGGCCAGCAUCGGUUUGGAUGGUAGGAUAAUGGCAUUGGAAUGUGGCUCCUCGGAGUGUUAUAGCCUUUGUUGAUACUGCCUAUCUAGACCGAGGACUGCGUCUUUGACUAGGAUGCU
rnacentral:rRNA from 2 species